rnacentral:rRNA from 1 species
AGCUCCAAUAGAGUAUAUUAAAGUUGCUGCAGUUAAAAAGCUCGUAGUUGCAUUUCCGAGGCAAGGGAUUAGUCCGACCUUUGGUGGGUAUUUAAUCCUCUUGCCUCGUCCUUGAGUGGUGCUUCUUGGUAUUAAGUUAUCGAGGAGAUAGCCGCUCAUCGUUUACUGUGAGAAAAUUAGAGUGUUCAAAGCAGGCUUAUACCGUUGAAUAUAUUAGCAUGGAAUAAUAAGAUAGGACCUCGGUACUAUUUUGUUGGUUUGAGAACCAAGGUAAUGAUGAAUAGGGACAGUUGGGGGUAUUCGUAUUCAGUUGUCAGAGGUGAAAUUCUUAGAUUUACGGAAGACGAACUACUGCGAAAGCAUUUACCAAGGAUGUUUUCA